UCAGAACGAACGCUGGCGGCGUGGAUAAGACAUGCAAGUCGAACGAGAGAAUUGCUAGCUUGCUAAUAAUUCUCUAGUGGCGCACGGGUGAGUAACACGUGAGUAACCUGCCCCCGAGAGCGGGAUAGCCCUGGGAAACUGGGAUUAAUACCGCAUAGUAUCGAAAGAUUAAAGCAGCAAUGCGCUUGGGGAUGGGCUCGCGGCCUAUUAGUUAGUUGGUGAGGUAACGGCUCACCAAGGCGAUGACGGGUAGCCGGUCUGAGAGGAUGUCCGGCCACACUGGAACUGAGACACGGUCCAGACACCUACGGGUGGCAGCAGUCGAGAAUCAUUCACAAUGGGGGAAACCCUGAUGGUGCGACGCCGCGUGGGGGAAUGAAGGUCUUCGGAUUGUAAACCCCUGUCAUGUGGGAGCAAAUUAAGAAGAUAGUACCACAAGAGGAAGAGACGGCUAACUCUGUGCCAGCAGCCGCGGUAAUACAGAGGUCUCAAGCGUUGUUCGGAAUCACUGGGCGUAAAGCGUGCGUAGGCUGUUUCGUAAGUCGUGUGUGAAAGGCGCGGGCUCAACCCGCGGACGGCACAUGAUACUGCGAGACUAGAGUAAUGGAGGGGGAACCGGAAUUCUCGGUGUAGCAGUGAAAUGCGUAGAUAUCGAGAGGAACACUCGUGGCGAA
rnacentral:rRNA from 1 species